AUUGAACACUGGCGGCAUGCCUUACACAUGCAAGUCGAACGGCAGCACGGGGCAACCUGGUGGUGAGUGGCGAACGGGUGAGUAAUGCAUCGGAACGUACCUUUCAGUGGGGGAUAACGUAGCGAAAGUUACGCUAAUACCGCAUAUUCUGUGAGCAGGAAAGCAGGGGAUCGCAAGACCUUGCGCUGAUUGAGCGGCCGAUGUCAGAUUAGCUAGUUGGUGAGGUAAAGGCUCACCAAGGCGACGAUCUGUAGCGGGUCUGAGAGGAUGGUCCGCCACACUUGAACUGGGACACGGUCCAGACUCCUACGGGAGGCAGCAGUGGGGAAUUUUGGACAAUGGGGGCAACCCUGAUCCAGCCAUGCCGCGUGAGUGAAGAAGGCCUUCGGGUUGUAAAGCUCUUUCGGCCGGGAAGAAAUCGCACGGGCUAAUACCCUGUGUGGAUGACGGUACCGGAAUAAGAAGCACCGGCUAACUACGUGCCAGCCGCCGCCGUAACAC
rnacentral:rRNA from 1 species